rnacentral:snoRNA from 7 species
AUGACCACUGCGCAAUCUGAGUUCUGGGAACCAGGUGAUGGAGUGUGCUGAGAACACUGAGG